GCUGGGCGCUGUGGCGGGCGCCUGUAAUCCCAGUUACUCUGGAGGCUGAGGCAGGAGAAUCAUUUGAACCCAGGCAGUGGAGGUUGCAGUGAGAACCACUGCACUCCAGCCUGGGCAACAGAGUGAGACUCUGUCUCCA
ensembl:misc_RNA Metazoa_SRP Metazoan signal recognition particle RNA